rnacentral:rRNA from 1 species
UACAGAGGGUGCAAGCGUUAAUCGGAAUUACUGGGCGUAAAGCGUGCGUAGACGGUAGCGUAAGUCGGGUGUGAAAGCCCCGGGCUCAACCUGGGAAUUGCAUUCGAGACUGCUCUGCUAGGGUGCGGAAGAGGGAAGCGGAAUUUCCGGUGUAGCGGUGAAAUGCGUAGAUAUCGGAAGGAACACCAGUGGCGAAAGCGGCUCUCUGGUACGUGACUGACGCUGAGACGCGAAAGCGUGGGGAGCAAACAGG